GACGAACGCUGGCGGCGUGCUUAACACAUGCAAGUCGAACGGAAAGGCCCUGCUUUUGUGGGGUGCUCGAGUGGCGAACGGGUGAGUAACACGUGAGUAACCUGCCCUUGACUUUGGGAUAACUUCAGGAAACUGGGGCUAAUACCGGAUAGGAGCUCCUGCUGCAUGGUGGGGGUUGGAAAGUUUCGGCGGUUGGGGAUGGACUCGCGGCUUAUCAGCUUGUUGGUGGGGUAGUGGCUUACCAAGGCUUUGACGGGUAGCCGGCCUGAGAGGGUGACCGGCCACAUUGGGACUGAGAUACGGCCCAGACUCCUACGGGAGGCAGCAGUGGGGAAUAUUGCACAAUGGGCGGAAGCCUGAUGCAGCAACGCCGCGUGCGGGAUGACGGCCUUCGGGUUGUAAACCGCUUUCGCCUGUGACGAAGCGUGAGUGACGGUAAUGGGUAAAGAAGCACGGGCUAGCUACGUG
rnacentral:rRNA from 1 species